rnacentral:rRNA from 1 species
GUUAAGUUGCAGGGUAUAGACCCGAAACCCGGUGAUCUAGCCAUGGGCAGGUUGAAGGUUGGGUAACACUAACUGGAGGACCGAACCGACUAAUGUUGAAAAAUUAGCGGAUGACUUGUGGCUGGGGGUGAAAGGCCAAUCAAACCGGGAGAUAGCUGGUUCUCCCCGAAAGCUAUUUAGGUAGCGCCUCGUGAAUUCAUCUCCGGGGGUAGAGCACUGUUUCGGCAAGGGGGUCAUCCCGACUUACCAACCCGAUGCAAACUGCGAAUACCGGAGAAUGUUAUCACGGGAGACACACGGCGGGUGCUAACGUCCGUCGUGAAGAGGGAAACAACCCAGACCGCCAGCUAAGGUCCCAAAGUCAUGGUUAAGUGGGAAACGAUGUGGGAAGGCCCAGACAGCCAGGAUGUUGGCUUAGAAGCAGCCAUCAUUUAAAGAAAGCGUAAUAGCUCACUGGUCGAGUCGGCCUGCGCGGAAGAUGUAACGGGGCUAAACCAUGCACCGAAGCUGCGGCAGCGACACUGUGUGUUGUUGGGUAGGGGAGCGUUCUGUAAGCCUGUGAAGGUGUGCUGUGAGGCAUGCUGGAGGUAUCAGAAGUGCGAAUGCUGACAUAAGUAACGAUAAAGCGGGUGAAAAGCCCGCUCGCCGGAAGACCAAGGGUUCCUGUCCAACGUUAAUCGGGGCAGGGUGAGUCGACCCCUAAGGCGAGGCCGAAAGGCGUAGUCGAUGGGAAACAGGUUAAUAUUCCUGUACUUGGUGUUACUGCGAAGGGGGGACGGAGAAGGCUAUGUUGGCCGGGCGACGGUUGUCCCGGUUUAAGCGUGUAGGCUGGUUUUCCAGGCAAAUCCGGAAAAUCAAGGCUGAGGCGUGAUGACGAGGCACUACGGUGCUGAAGCAACAAAUGCCCUGCUUCCAGGAAAAGCCUCUAAGCAUCAGGUAACAUCAAAUCGUACCCCAAACCGACACAGGUGGUCAGGUAGAGAAUACCAAGGCGCUUGAGAGAACUCGGGUGAAGGAACUAGGCAAAAUGGUGCCGUAACUUCGGGAGAAGGCACGCUGAUAUGUAGGUGAAGUCCCUCGCGGAUGGAGCUGAAAUCAGUCGAAGAUACCAGCUGGCUGCAACUGUUUAUUAAAAACACAGCACUGUGCAAACACGAAAGUGGACGUAUACGGUGUGACGCCUGCCCGGUGCCGGAAGGUUAAUUGAUGGGGUCAGCGCAAGCGAAGCUCUUGAUCGAAGCCCCGGUAAACGGCGGCCGUAACUAUAACGGUCCUAAGGUAGCGAAAUUCCUUGUCGGGUAAGUUCCGACCUGCACGAAUGGCGUAAUGAUGGCCAGGCUGUCUCCACCCGAGACUCAGUGAAAUUGAACUCGCUGUGAAGAUGCAGUGUACCCGCGGCAAGACGGAAAGACCCCGUGAACCUUUACUAUAGCUUGACACUGAACAUUGAGCCUUGAUGUGUAGGAUAGGUGGGAGGCUUUGAAGUGUGGACGCCAGUCUGCAUGGAGCCGACCUUGAAAUACCACCCUUUAAUGUUUGAUGUUCUAACGUGGACCCGUGAUCCGGGUUGCGGACAGUGUCUGGUGGGUAGUUUGACUGGGGCGGUCUCCUCCUAAAGAGUAACGGAGGAGCACGAAGGUUGGCUAAUCCUGGUCGGACAUCAGGAGGUUAGUGCAAUGGCAUAAGCCAGCUUGACUGCGAGCGUGACGGCGCGAGCAGGUGCGAAAGCAGGUCAUAGUGAUCCGGUGGUUCUGAAUGGAAGGGCCAUCGCUCAACGGAUAAAAGGUACUCCGGGGAUAACAGGCUGAUACCGCCCAAGAGUUCAUAUCGACGGCGGUGUUUGGCACCUCGAUGUCGGCUCAUCACAUCCUGGGGCUGAAGUAGGUCCCAAGGGUAUGGCUGUUCGCCAUUUAAAGUGGUACGCGAGCUGGGUUUAGAACGUCGUGAGACAGUUCGGUCCCUAUCUGCCGUGGGCGCUGGAGAACUGAGGGGGGCUGCUCCUAGUACGAGAGGACCGGAGUGGACGCAUCACUGGUGUUCGGGUUGUCAUGCCAAUGGCACUGCCCGGUAGCUAAAUGCGGAAGAGAUAAGUGCUGAAAGCAUCUAAGCACGAAACUUGCCCCGAGAUGAGUUCUCCCUGACCCUUUAAGGGUCCUGAAGGAACGUUGAAGACGACGACGUUGAUAGGCCGGGUGUGUAAGCGCAGCGAUGCGUUGAGCUAACCGGUACUAAUGAACCGUGAGGCUUAACCUUACAACGCCGAAGGUGUUU